rnacentral:rRNA from 1 species
AGGCUUAACACAUGCAAGUCGAGGGGUUUCGAGGGGGCUUGCUCCCGCGAGACGACCGGCGCACGGGUGAGUAACGCGUAUCCAACCUGCCCUUCAUAUUGGGAUAGCCUCUCGAAAGGGAGAUUAAUACCGAAUAACAUAGUUUAGUUGCCUGACCAGACUAUGAAAGCUCCGGCGAUGAAGGAUGGGGAUGCGUUCCAUUAGGUAGUAGGCGGGGUAACGGCCCACCUAGCCAACGAUGGAUAGGGGUUCUGAGAGGAAGGUCCCCCACACUGGAACUGAGACACGGUCCAGACUCCUACGGGAGGCAGCAGUGAGGAAUAUUGGUCAAUGGUCGGAAGACUGAACCAGCCAAGUAGCGUGAAGGAUGAAGGUUCUAUGGAUUGUAAACUUCUUUUAUACGGGAAUAAAACCUCCCACGUGUGGGAGCUUGUAUGUACCGUAUGAAUAAGCAUCGGCUAACUCCGUGCCAGCAGCCGCGGUAAUACGGAGGAUGCGAGCGUUAUCCGGAUUUAUUGGGUUUAAAGGGAGCGUAGACGGGAUGUUAAGUCAGUUGUGAAAGGCUGCGGCUUAACCGCAGCACUGCAGUUGAUACUGGCGUCCUUGAGUGCGGUUGAGGUAUGUGGAAUUCGUGGUGUAGCGGUGAAAUGCUUAGAUAUCACGAAGAACUCCGAUUG